GUAAUAUGUUGUUGUAUUGUGGUUGUGGUGGUAAUAUGUUGUUGUAUUGUGGUUGUGGUGGUAAUAUGUUGUUGUAUUGUGUGGUUGUGGUGGUAAUAUGUUGUUGUAUUGUGGUUGUGGUGGUAAUAUGUUGUUGUAUUGUGGUUGUGGUGGUAAUAUGUUGUUGUAUUGUGGUUGUGGAGGUAAUAUGUUGUUGUAUUGUGGUUAAGGUGGUAAUAUGUUGUUGUAUUGUGGUGGUAAUAUGUUGUUGUAUUGUGUGUUUGUGGAGGUAAUAUGUUGUUGUAUUGUGUGGUUGUGGAGGUAAUAUGUUGUUGUAUUGUGGUUGUGGUGGUAAUAUGUUGUUGUAUUGUGUGUUUGUGGAGGUAAUAUGUUGUUGUAUUGUGGGGUUGUGGUGGUAAUAUGUUGUUGUAUUGUGGUUGUGGUGGUA
ensembl:lncRNA